ACGGGAGGCAGCAGUGGGGAAUAUUGCACAAUGGGGGAAACCCUGAUGCAGCAACGCCGCGUGAAGGAUGAAGGUCUUCGGAUCGUAAACUUCUGUCCUUGGGGACGAAUAAAUGACGGUACCCUUGGAGGAAGCUCCGGCUAACUACGUGCCAGCAGCCGCGGUAAUACGUAGGGAGCAAGCGUUAUCCGGAUUUACUGGGUGUAAAGGGCGUGUAGGCGGGACAUCAAGUCAGAUGUGAAAGCACGAGGCUCAACUUCGUGUCUGCAUUUGAAACUGACGUUCUUGAGUGUUGGAGAGGCUAACGGAACUCCUAGUGUAGCGGUGAAAUGCGUAGAUAUUAGGGAGAACACCAGUGGCGAAGGCGGUUAGCUGGACAAUAACUGACGCUGAGGCGCGAAAGCGUGGGUAGCAAACAGGAUUAGAUACCCUGGUA
rnacentral:rRNA from 1 species